rnacentral:rRNA from 1 species
AGAAUCAACGCUGGCGGCGUGCCUAACACAUGCAAGUCGAACGAGAAAGUGGAGCAAUCCAUGAGUAAAGUGGCGCACGGGUGAGUAACACGUGACUAACCUACCCUCGAGUGGGGAAUAACUUCGGGAAACCGAGGCUAAUACCGCAUAAAAACCUAAGGGUCAAAGGAGCAAUCCGUUUGAGGAGGGGGUCGCGGCAGAUUAGUUAGUUGGCGGGGUAAUGGCCCACCAAGACGAUGAUCUGUAUCCGGCCUGAGAGGGCGCACGGACACACUGGAACUGAAACACGGUCCAGACUCCUACGGGAGGCAGCAGUGGGAAUUUUGCGCAAUGGGGGAAACCCUGACGCAGCAACGCCGCGUGGAGGAUGAAAUCCCUUGGGAUGUAAACUCCUUUCGAUCGGGAAGAUAAUGACGGUACCGGAAGAAGAAGCCCCGGCUAACUUCGUGCCAGCAGCCGC